GACGAACGCUGGCGGCGUGCUUAACACAUGCAAGUCGAACGGAAAGGCCCGGCUUUUGUGGGGUGCUCGAGUGGCGAACGGGGGAGUAAAACGUGAGGAACCUGCCCUUGACUUUGGGAUAACUUCAGGAAACGGGGGCGAAUACCGGAUAGGAGCUGCUGCUGCAUGGUGGGGGUUGGAAAGGUUCGGAGGGUGGGGAGGGACUCGCGGGGGAUCAGCUUGUUGGUGGGGUAGUGUCUUACCAAGGCUUUGACGGGUAGCCGGCCUGAGAGGGUGACCGGCCACAUUGGGACUGAGAUCCGGCCCAGACUCCUACGGGAGGCAGCAGUGGGGAAUAUUGCACCGUGGGCGGAAGCCUGCUGCCGCAACUCCGCGUGCGUGAUGACGGCCUUCGGGUUGUAAACCGCUUUCGCCUGUGACGAAGCGUCAGUGACGGUAAUGGGUAAAGAAGCACCGGCUAACUACGUG
rnacentral:rRNA from 1 species